UAAUAAGUGUUUAUGGCACUUCUUAAAUCCAUAUCCACCUUGUGUGCAAUGUCAGUCGAUUUUCUUCAUGAGAGCUGACCAAACAUCAACCUUAUCUUUUAACUUCUGUCUGAAAACUAUUAUGAAUAAACAAUUCAAAUA
rnacentral:misc_RNA from 1 species